CAGCAGCCGCGGGAAUACGAAGGGUGCAAGCGUUACUCGGAAUUACUGGGCGUAAAGCGCACGUAGGCGGCUUUGUAAGUCAGAGGUGAAAGCCUGGAGCUCAACUCCAGAAUUGCCUUUGAGACUGCAUCGCUUGAACGUCGGAGAGGUGAGUGGAAUUCCGAGUGUAGAGGUGAAAUUCGUAGAUAUUCGGAAGAACACCAGUGGCGAAGGCAAUCCCCUGGGCCUGCACUGACGCUCAUGCACGAAAGCGUGGGGAGCAAACAGGAUUAGAUACCCCCGUAGUCCCUGUCUCUUAUAA
rnacentral:rRNA from 1 species